GUCGGUGCAGUGAUGACCUGACUUUUUUCCCCAUCAGAUCGACCCUGUUGAUCUUACUAAGCUCUAAGCCAGUUUUUGUCUGAUGCAUUGAC